rnacentral:lncRNA from 1 species
AUUACAUGUGGACAGAUGGGUACAGAUGUGCACAUUUAUGGAAAGCAGCAGCAGUGUUUGUCACAAACUGUUGGAAAAAGAGAAAAACUGCUCUGUCAUUCUCCUCCCCGUCACCACGGCAACGCACCAUGGCAACUGCACCUCCUCCAAUCAGCUGCAGCGCAGACUUUCCUGUUUCCUCUUUUUACAGGAGAGAAAAGGGCAACCUGUUUACAGAGAGGGGACGAAGCCUUUGUUUUCACACUUUUUCUACUCGGGCUUUGUUUUUUACCACAAACGUGUGUAUGUAUGUAUGUCUGUGUGUGUGUUACAGCAGUGCAGUUUGAAAGCAUCACAAUCAGCAGGAACAAACAUUUAAAGUUACUUCAUCUUUGCACUGAGAGCUUUUCCUCCUCCUUAUAUUAG